AUUUGUGCACAAUUCCUACUUAAACGCAAAAGGCACUCAUUUCGUGGAAUUAUCCAGCUACUAUGUACAGAGGGUAGAACAGCAAGUAUCUACUAGGUACAGAGGGUAGAACAGCAACUAUCUACUAGGUACAGAGGGUAGAACAGCAAGUAUCUACUAUGUACAGAGGGUAGAACAGCAAGUAUCUACUAGGUACAGAGGGUAGAACAGCAAGUAUCUACUAGGUACAGAGGGUAGAACAGCAAGUAUCUACUAGGUACAGAGGGUAGAACAGCAAGUAUCUACUAGGUACAGAGGGUAGAACAGCAAGUAUCUACUAUGUACAGAGGGUAGAACAGCAAGUAUCUACUAGGUACAGAGGGUAGAACAGCAAGUAUCUACUAGGUACAGAGGGUAGAACAGCAAGUAUCUACUAGGUACAGAGGGUAGAACAGCAAGUAUCUACUAGGUACAGAGGGUAGAACAGCAAGUAUCUACUAGGUACAGAGGGU